rnacentral:rRNA from 1 species
GACGAACGCUGGCGACGCGCUUAACACAUGCAAGUCGAACGGAAAGGCCUGCUUUCCCUUGUGGAUUGCGGGUACUCGAGUGGCGAACGGGUGAGUACCACGUGAGUGAUCUGCCCCCAACUUGGGUAUAAGCCUGGGAAACUGGGUCUAAUUCCCGAUAGGACUGCAGGGUGGUGCCUGUGGUGGGAAACGAUUUUCUAGUGGUUGGGGAUGAGCUCGCGGCCUAUCAGCUUGUUGGUGGGGUAAUGGCCUACCAAGGCGGCGACGGGUAGCCGGCCUGGGAGGGUGGACGGCCACAGUGGGACUGAGAUACGACCCAGACGCCUACGGGAGGCAGCAGUGGGGAAUAUUGCACAAUGGGCGGAAGCCUGAUGCAGCGACGCCGCGUGGGGGAUGACGGCCUUCGGGUUGUAAACUCCUUUCGACCGCGAGGAAGCCACCUGGUUGGAAGGGUGGUGACGGUAGUGGUAGAAGAAGCACCGGCUAACUACGUG